CUCAUGUAUAAUAAGGGAGCUUGUGUCUCUUGUCUGUUGCGCCUCUGCGCUUAUUUAGGGUUAUAGUCCCACGUGAGUCCCUGCCGGUUACCCUGUGAGGUGUUGCCUUCAUCAAUGCUGGCAUGAGUUGUGGUAGCAGGCUGGUUGUGCGCUCCUUAGAGGCGUCAUGUAGGUGUCUUUCGGUUCGUUGCUCCACGGCUGCCACCAUUAUUCUCCAGCUUGUGAUGGAC